UACAGAGGUCUCAAGCGUUGUUCGGAUUCAUUGGGCGUAAAGGGUGCGUAGGCGGCGCGGUAAGUCGGGUGUGAAAUCUCGGAGCUUAACUCCGAAACUGCAUUCGAUACUGCCGUGCUUGAGGACUGGAGAGGAGACGUGGAAUUUACGGUGUAGCGGUGAAAUGCGUAGAUAUCGUAAGGAAGACCAGUGGCGAAGGCGGGUCUCUGGACAGUUCCUGA
rnacentral:rRNA from 1 species